rnacentral:rRNA from 1 species
CCUACGGGAGGCAGCAGUCGAGAAUCAUUCACAAUGGGGGAAACCCUGAUGGUGCGACGCCGCGUGGGGGAAUGCAGGUCUUCGGAUUGUAAACCCCUGUUAUGUGGGAGCAAAUUAAAAAGAUAGUACCACAAGAGGAAGAGACGGCUAACUCUGUGCCAGCAGCCGCGGUAAUACAGAGGUCGCAAGCGUUGUUCGGAAUCACUGGUCGUAAAGGGUGCGUAGGCGGUUUCGUAAGUCGUGUGUGAAAGGCGCGGGCUCAACCCGCGGACGGCAGAUGAUACUGCGAGACUAGAGUAAUGGAGGGGGAACCGGAAUUCUCGGUGUAGCGGUGAAAUGCGUAGAUAUCGAGAGGAACACUCGUGGCGAAGGCGGGUUACUGGACAUUAACUGACGCUGAGGCACGAAGGCCAGGGGAGCGAAAGGGAUUAGAUACCCCUGUAGUC